rnacentral:tRNA from 1 species
GCGGAUGUGGUGAAUUGGCAGACGACGCCAGACUUAGGUUUUUUGCAGCAAUGCGUGAAGGUUCAAGUCCUUUCAUCCGCACCA